GAGGUAGAAGCUUUAUACAGCCCCUAACUGUUAAUUAGGAAGAACCAGCCUCCUGGCUAUCUCU
rnacentral:tRNA from 1 species